AUGUUUCAUUUGUUUUUUUUUCUCGAGUCUGUUACAGGUCGAAGAAAGCAAAAACAGAAGCCCACCGCCGGUUUGCCCGCAACCUCUGCAGCCAUUCACAACAAAUCCUCCGCUCACUAUUGUGUGCCGUGGAUUCUGCUCCACCACCGGUUCUCGAAGUGCCACCGCGAGUUGAUUGAGUUUUUUUCUAAGAAAGAAGAAGGUAAAGAAAGUGAAGGGACGUGA